rnacentral:rRNA from 1 species
UACGAACUGCGCGAACGUUACUCGGAAUCACUGGGCUUAAAGGGUGCGUAGGCGGCCCAAAAAGUCGGGUGUGAAAUCCCUCGGCUCAACCGAGGAAUGGCGCCCGAAACUGCUGGGCUUGAGUGCGAUAGGGGUGUGCGGAACUUCCAGUGGAGCGGUGAAAUGUGUUGAUAUUGGAAGGAACGCCGGUGGCGAAAGCGGCACACUGGGUCGUUUCUGACGCUGAGUGCACGAAAGCCAGGGGAGCGAACGGG